rfam:Asian citrus Psyllid, Diaphorina citri - Florida Strain, whole genome shotgun sequence.
GCCAGUGGCGAUUGCACGUUGAAUACACCAGUUCCCCAGGGAUCACUGAAGUUAAGCAACGUCGCACGUGAUUGGUACCCGGAU